rnacentral:rRNA from 1 species
GACGAACGCUGGCGGCGUGCUUAACACAUGCAAGUCGAACGGAAAGGCCCUGCUUUUGUGGCGUGCUCGAGUGGCGAACGGGUGAGUAACACGUGAGUAACCUGCCCUUGACUUUGGGAUAACUUCAGGAAACUGGGGCUAAUACCGGAUAGGAGCUCCUGCUGCAUGGUGGGGGUUGGAAAGUUUCGGCGGUUGGGGAUGGACUCGCGGCUUAUCAGCUUGUUGGUGGGGUAGUGGCUUACCAAGGCUUUGACGGGUAGCCGGCCUGAGAGGGUGACCGACCACAUUGGGACUGAGAUACGGCCCAGACUCCUACGGGAGGCAGCAGUGGGGAAUAUUGCACAAUGGGCGGAAGCCUGAUGCAGCAACGCCGCGUGCGGGAUGACGGCCUUCGGGUUGUAAACCGCUUUCGCCUGUGACGAAGCGUGAGUGACGGUAAUGGGUAAAGAAGCACCGGCUAACUACGUG